UCCCCGGCAGAGCGAGCCGGAGCUGGCGCCGGCUGCCAGGAGCUCGCGGGAGGCUGGCAGGGUGGCGCCAGGGCCGAGCAUCUCCGGCUGUAGCGCCGCGGCCUCUCUGCUUGCUGCACCACCUGGCACGGGCCAGGCGUCCGGUAAGGCGCCGAGCGGAGGGCCUGGCUCGGGGGUGGGGGGUGGCCCCGGGCCUUUUCGCUCCGGGAACUGCGCGCGCGGCUUGUGUUCGCGCGUGCGGCGGGCCUGGCCGGUGGGCAGCGGGGCGGAGGGAGGGGCGCCGCGCUCUCUGGGAUUCCGGGCUCGCUGGUGCCAGGACACCGCGCUUUCCUCCUAGGGCUCCAGCCAGGUGGCUCCCAGACCUCGAGCAUCCCAAGUCUCCUUUCCCACUGCGCUUGGGAAAGACUUAUUUUGUGGUUCAAACCCUCUUUAGCAAGAUUUCUUUCCCAACCGAGCUCAGGGAGGCACAGGAGUUGGGAUGUGUGCAUGUGUGUGUGUACCUUAUUUUAAUAGAAAGAGUUGUGGCAGGCAAAAGUUCCAAGAUUGGCGUGGUUCUGUCCAUUCUUAUGAAAUGGCAUAUGUGCACCGGGAUUGGCAGGUGACUCUUAACGCUUUUCAUAACCAACCCAGAGUCAGGUGUUGCGUUUGUUGUGGCUUUAGGUUCGACCUUAUUUAUUUAUUUUUGGUACUGACGAUCGUUCUAGAAAAUGAGCAUUGCUUGUGGUGAGAAGCGUGAUCAAAAUAACUGACCUCAACCGAAGUGCACCCUUAGUAUAACAUUGGGUCCCUGGAAUUAUCCUCUUAAUUGCUUGUGGCAAUCACUUCUAAGCAAAGCAGUUAAUAUCGUUGUUAUUUCUGCUGGUGUAGGAAUUGUUAGCAACCAGUAGCAACACUGUUGUUAGAAAUGGUCUGGGCACUGUUCUCUGAACAGGUUGCUUCCAGAAUAACCCUUUCAGGUUAGUGCUAUUGUGUCCCAGCAAAUACUUCAGAAGGUUAAGUAACUUAUUUCAAGACGGGGGUGGGGGGUCUUUAAGUAAGAAAGGACUGGAUUUAAGCUGACUUCAUAGUUGUACUCUUAACCAGGCAUACUCCUUAAGCAUUGUUUAUGUUGUCAAGGGAUUGCAAACGAAUGUUUUAAUUUUAGUUUCCAAAUAUUCUGGGAGUUAGAGGAGAAACACAUCUCCCUAAUAAAUAAAAAAGUACAUGUAUCUUGUGUAUGCAUCUUAUGUCUAACCGCUAUAACAGGCUGGCUAUAUAUCUGCUACAUGGUUUCCAGAAAUUCAGGAAAAGAGUUUGUAACUUUUUAAUACUGGACUUCUAAGAAAUCCUGUUUGAGCUUCGAUUUGCAAGCUGAGCCUGGCUCUUUUGCGUAGUCGUGAAAGCUUGAAAGUUAGACACAGAGGCCAGAAGUGAUGAGAUAAUGCCUUCUCAUCGUUAGGGCUGCUGGACCUGGCUUUUAUUAGUUGGGUCCCAUUCCUUCUCCCCAAGCUGCUGGUGAAGAAGCGACUGAGUUACAUUCUUAUAAGGAGUUUAGUAAACUUAUGAAACCUACAUUUCAAAGUCAUAAGUGACUCACCAUUUCAGGGCUGUGUUUUUAUUUCGUUAGUUGGUUGGUUUUUAGACAGGGUCUGACACCGCCCAAGCUGGCCUGGAAUUGACUCCUGCCCAGGGAUUCCCAAGCGCUUGAACACCAGAGCCUCCACACCUGCUCGUUUUACAGGCUUUGUCCUUGUUUAAGUUAAAAGCUUCGUGAUUCCGUUUAUGCCUAAUUUGUAUUUAAUUCCAUUUUUUAAAUUCUCAUCUGUAUUAACUUUUUAUAUUAUGUUAAAUUAAAAUUAUAACUCAUUGAUUGUGAAGCAAACUUGUUAUAUUUGAGACACAAAGAAAACACAAAUCCUUUGAUCUUAGGGAACAAAUCUGGGGUUAAAGUUAUAUUUGACUUCAUUAUUUUAUUGCAGGUUAGCUAGUUUACUUGAAGGUAAAUGCUUAUGGCUGAAAUAUGCUUAUAUGGAUGAAACUGAUCAAUGUUUACAAAUUUCAAAGUGACAAACACGUUACUUCUGUAGCUACUGCAGUAUUUUCUGUUGUCUGGAUCUCUGUGCUGUUCAUAUGGGUCCUUCCUGACCCGGAUAGAGAAUGAGGUAUUUUAAGAGUUAAUCUUGAUUAUCCUCAUAGCCUCUUAAUUUAGUCAUUAAAAAAUGUUGAUGCAGAAACUCGCUGGCAUUUAGAAUGCAACUUCUGUCCAGGUUAGCCAGCAGCAGUGGUUAUCCUUAUAAGGAGCGUUUAUUAUACAGCAUUUCAAUAAGCAUUAUGGGUCUAAUUUAAAGCUAUCUUAAUUUAAGUCUUCAGGGAGUGGAGGAAGCCCUUUGAGUCGUUCCUGCUCUGAGCUUGGAGGAGAACUGAAACACAGGGAGGGUGUAACUUAACUACCAAAUAGUGCUGUGUACCCACAGCAAGUGGCAAACCAAGGUUUAAGUCCAGGCAGUAUUGACUGCGGUGCCUGCCAAAUGACCUUUCUUUUUAUUGGAAAAACCUUCAAGUCAGGCAGCAGAGCUUGUAAUAAGAUCACAACAUUAUGUGUGCACAUCCUCUGACACUCUGUGCGUUUCACAACUGGGCUUCUCUUUCCUUUCGUGUCUGUUGCAUUUGUGUGUACUAAGUAUGGAGGCCACAGCCGUCUUCCUCAGUUACUUCUCCAUCUUAGUUUCUGAGACAGGAUCUUUUACUAGUCCUCGGGCUGACCUUUGUCAAGACUGACUAGCAGGCAAGAUCUGCUGCCUCAAUCCCAUGACUCCUGGCACUGCAGUUGCAUGCACCUAUGAAACUGGCUAUAAUGAGGAUUUUAACUCAGGUUCCUCAUGAUUGUGAAGGGAGCACUUUACUCAUUGAACCAAAAACACAAGUGUUCUAAUGGAGCGGUUGGUUCCCAGACUAAACUUUAAUAAUAGCUUUUGUUGUCGUUAAGUAUAUAUGUAGAGGUAUGUUGUUAUAUAUGUAGGUAUUUGGGACCAGACAUGAGAUUGCCAGUGUUUCUUGAAGUUGAAAGCCUUAAAGACUACUGUAAAUCCUGUUUGGCAGGCAGGAGGGCUGCUAUGAUUUUGAGACCCACCUUUUGUGAUUAGUGACUUUAGGACCAACCUUUUGGAACAUAGAACUGUGUCUUUAAGACAGUAACAAAAGCCCCUGAAAAGCUCACUGACCGACCCUGCCCUAAGAGAUAGGAUUUCACCACCAGAAAGGGAAGUCAUAGUUCAUAACAUAAAGACAAAGGAUAGAGUUAAUAUUAUGAGCAAUGCUAUUAUAUUGUCCUAGUUUCUCCGUAGGUGGUCACAGCCCGUGAAAAGGUGACUGACCCCAGUGCCAAUUC
rnacentral:lncRNA from 1 species